rnacentral:misc_RNA from 1 species
GUUUUCCAUAAACCUCAACCACAAGGAAACAUUCCUCUAUACUCCAAAAGGGAAGCAGAGACAUCCAUACCCAAAAUUAUACAUACAAUAAAGAGUAAAAUAAGCAAUUUGAAAUUGAAAAUAUCAUGGAUAAAAGAGAAUUAUGAUAUCUGGAGUCAACUCCUACAGUGCCCGAAAAAUUUCUAGUUCAUCAUUUGAAUUGACAUCAAUAAGGUUUAUUUAGCUCUACUACAGAACAUGGCACAACAUAAUUAUGUAAGUGAUCCUAUUCAUUGGAAUGAAGAAAUUUAGUUUAGUUGAGAUGAGUUGAGAAUAGAUGAAAAUGGUACUAAACUGUGUACAUAAGCUGAAGUAGUCAAAGAUGUGCUGCAAUAAAAUAUAUAGGGUCCAAAGCUUAUUAAGCAAGUUGUGUAUUACUGCUGAUAAAGAAAUCAGUAUCUCUAAUUCUAUAUUGGACCCCAAAAAAAUAAAAUUAAUUCUUAGUUCCCAUAUUUAAGAACUAACUGUUAACUAACAUGAUUAAAAAUUUGGAAGAAAUGUGAAAUGAGGAUUUUAAACAAAAUCAAAAGAAAUGAGAAGAAUAUUGGUACAAUUAACUUUAGGUAGAAUAGAAUGAAACAUUAUAAAAGCUCUUGCACUCUGCAACUAAUUAUGUGUAUGUGCUGGAUGAAACUUCAAAACUGAACAAGCAAGCUUACAAAAAAUAAAAGCAGUAGUUACCUUGCCACAGACUGGGCA